UACGUAGGGUGCAAGCGUUAAUCGGAAUUACUGGGCGUAAAGCGUGCGCAGGCGGCUAUGCAAGACAGAUGUGAAAUCCCCGGGCUCAACCCGGGAACUGCAUUUGUGACUGCAUGGCUAGAGUACGGUAGAGGGGGAUGGAAUUCCGCGUGUAGCAGUGAAAUGCGUAGAUAUGCGGAGGAACACCGAUGGCGAAGGCAAUCCCCUGGACCUGUACUGACGCUCAUGCACGAAAGCGUGGGGAGCAACAGG
rnacentral:rRNA from 1 species